rnacentral:rRNA from 1 species
GAUGAACGCUGGCGGCGUGCCUAAUACAUGCAAGUCGAGCGAACGGACGAGAAGCUUGCUUCUCUGAUGUUAGCGGCGGACGGGUGAGUAACACGUGGAUAACCUACCUAUAAGACUGGGAUAACUUCGGGAAACCGGAGCUAAUACCGGAUAAUAUUUUGAACCGCAUGGUUCAAAAGUGAAAGACGGUCUUGCUGUCACUUAUAGAUGGAUCCGCGCUGCAUUAGCUAGUUGGUAGGGUAACGGCUUACCAAGGCAACGAUGCAUAGCCGACCUGAGAGGGUGCUCGGCCACACUGGAACUGAGACACGGUCCAGACUCCUACGGGAGGCAGCAGUAGGGAAUCUUCCGCAAUGGGCGAAAGCCUGACGGAGCAACGCCGCGUGAGUGAUGAAGGUCUUCGGAUCGUAAAACUCUGUUAUUAGGGAAGAACAUAUGUGUAAGUAACUGUGCACAUCUUGACGGUACCUAAUCAGAAAGCCACGGCUAACUACGUG